UACUUUGUCACAUUUGCCUUCCUUUUUGACCGCUUCGCCGUCUUUCUCUCUUUUUUUCCGAUCGUUUCCCCCGACUUCCGGUGAUCAUGCGAGAGCACCCUGCUCGACGAAGGUCAUGCGCCGCUCCGGCCCGUCGAUAUGCACAACGCUGUCGUUGAUCGGCAGCAACGACGAAGUGGUGGAGGAGAUGUGCCGGCGUUUCUCUUCCGAAAUCGGCUCUACACCGUCACGGGUGCUCCCUCACCCCUCCUAGCAUCGUCUUCAUCUCCGCUGCUCUACUUCAUAUAGCUCCAACGGACUCCUUUCGUUAGCGGUCACCUCGGGAAGAAUCGAUACUCCCGACUAUGAACACCAAUGCGAAGAUUAUGCGUUAUGCCACCGUCGCCGAGUUUUCGCUGAGGCGCCUGUGGAUAGCACUGUGCUGAUGCUGUACUCGCCGGACGAUGCUGGGGAGCGGUUCUGCUACAGCGACGCGACGGUCGGGGGCAGCGGCGUGGAGCGGGAGUUCCUGCGCGUGGCGGCGUCGUACGUGGCGUCGCCGCACGAGGGGCCGAGGAGCGCGUACUACGACUUCUUCGCUGCGCACAACGCGACGCUGUGGACCGUGGACAGCGCGACGCGCGUUGCGACGCCGAUGCAGCUGGACAUUGUGUACACGUUCGUGAACCCGAGGGCGCCGUCGUUCUGGCGCAACCUUGAGGCGCGGCACGUGCGGUUCGAGCAGCGGCGGUACCGCGACUGGGAGGAGCUGCGGUACUCGCUGCGGUCGCUGCGCGAGUUCGUGCUUGCGAGCGGCGCGCUUGCGCAGUACCACCACCGCCACGCUGCGGACGUGCGGCGGCUGGGUGAGCUUGGGUACCAGGUGAACAUGAGCGACGCUGGCGCGGCAGAUGGGGUUGUGUCGCUGGUGCGGCGCGUGUACCUUGUGCUCUCUGACAGGGACCAGGUGCCUGCGUGGCUUGACACGGAGAGGUUCCCGGAGCUGCGCGUGGUGACGCAUGCGGAUAUGUUCAGCGCUGAUGAGGCGGCGUGGGUGCUGCCGACGCUGAACUCGAACGUGAUAGAGUCCGGGCUGCAUCGCAUUCCGGGCAUCUCGCGCUUUUUCCUCUACAUGGCAAACGACAUGAUGCUGGGACGGCAAGUCUCCUUCUUCGACCUGUUCCGCCCUCUGUCGCCGCUUCGCCAGCGUCUACACGUGUACCAUCUCAGUCGGGGCAGCGAGGGGUCGACAAACGCUUCACUCGCGUCGAAUGGGACCGGACGCGUCGCAUUGCUGCUGGAGCCGGUGGUCCACAGCGACACGCAGUACAUGGAGGCGAAGGGAGAGAUGACCAGCUCGGAGCGAGUGCAGGUCAUGCGUGCCCGCGAGGCAGUCAGCAGCUGCAUGCUUCAGCAGGUGCUCCCCGUUCUGUAUGCGAAGGGGCGCAGUGGCGAGUGGCUGGAAAAGGCAGUCCUCUUGCCCUCAUGGGCGACGACGCGGGCGUUUGCGUUGCCCGAUCCGCAUUAUGACGUGACGCCGCGUGGAUGCGGCGUGAGUAGCCAUUACUACUACCAUUUAUCGUCGAUUCGUCUCGAAGGCAUCGGACUCCCAUUUGGGUAUGCCCAUAGCCCGCAGCUGGUGGACGUUGAGGUGUACCGGCGUCUGAAUGAGGUGGAGCUCUUCGACUUCACCAACACCACCCGCGCCGCGUACGAACGCGAGAUGCACCCGUACUCCCCUAUCGAUGAGUAUGCAGUCUUUGAGGUGGCGAUGAUGCGUGGGAUGGAGCGGCACCUGUGGAGCUCUGUGUGGCGCGCCGCGCCGGCCGACGCGUUCACGGACGUGCGCGACACGCUCGAGUCUUGGUGGGCUGCCAACGUUCUAAGCGACCCGAUGGACGCUGCUCGACGUGUGUCGUGGCGUCUGUCUAGCGGCAGCGCGGACAUGUCGAUGUUUGGCGCGCUGUACGGCGACACUUGGGGCGUGCAGCUGCAGCGGCCGGACCUUGCCAUGGAGCUUGGGUACUGGUGGGUGCGCGGUGCGGUGCGGCCGUUGCGGCCGAGCCGACGGCUUGCAGCGCUGAAGAAGCUGUACGCGAUCCCUGAGGUGGGGACUGGCGACACGUGCGGCAGCGAGUCGCCGUUGUGGGCGGCGAGGAGCGACGACCACUACUACAGCCUGCUAUACGACAUGUUCCACCACACGCGGCACGACGAGACGUUUCUGUUCGAGAUGAUUUAUAGCGACAUGAAGGCUCUGCUGCUUGCGGCGCGCCUAAGGUACGAGUGGCUGAGGCAUCCGCUGUUCAUGGGCUUCAACGACAACAUUUUAGACGACGCCAACCACACAGAGGUCCGGAUAGCUUUUCACAGGCUUCUGAGCAUAGCGAUCCAGAACGCACCGCCGGCCCCGUGGGAACUUUAAAAACCUGUGGGUGGCGGGUGCAACGAAGGGAUAGGAAGCCCAUGCCAGCGUGGAUCUGGUGAGCGUUGUAGAAGAGACAGCGAUAAAAGGCCGCCUACCCGCCUUUGCACCACGCUACUAACAACGACAAAAUUUUCUCCUUGUGUUAUUCGCCAUGAUGGCGACAUUCCUGUUCCUUUCCUUUUGUUCGUACAGCGUUAUCCCCGAAUCAUUUUGAUUGUUUCCAUUUCUCUGGCCUGACGGCGAGGGACACACCCAUCUCGGUGCGUGGUGUCUCAGGGUCCAGUGCCCCCACUCUGUGUGGGGAAGCCACGCAGCCCCCACCUAACCCCUGCCAAUGCCGAACCACCUCUGGUGGUGGCAUGGGCAAGCACCUACGAGCUGGGGGGUCAGAGCGCUUCAUCGCCACGGAUAUCGACGGUCGGGUCCUGGACGGCGGUGCGUCAGAGCGGGCUGCGACAGCGCACGCGUCCGUGCCACCCAUGUGAUGGACCGUGUGUCAGCGUGACUCGAGCUAUCCCACGCCGGGCCGUCGCACUGCCUGCUGCUGGGGAGCCUGCGCCAUCGCGAGGGAUGCACCAGGGGUGGCAACCGGCACGAUGGGAGCGACUGUGAGGCGACCUGGGAGGCGGGUGGGCGGGGUAUGAGGCAGCGGCCGUGCUCGCAGAUGACUGAGCCGGCGCACUGCCGUAGCGCGUGUGUACCGCUACUUCGCACCACGCGGGAUGGGCCUGUGGCAGGGCGGUUGGAAUGUGGACUGCGUUUGUUGUAAGGCUGGACGGACGCCUUGAAAAUAAUCUUCUCUCGUAAGUGGUCGAACACGGCGUUGAGUUUGUGACCACAUCUGUUUAUCGUGUGUCUGCUGAAUGUCAAGGGGCGGGCACGAAGGAAAAGAGGGGGCUGAGGCCGACGGCGCAAUGAAGUCGCUGAUAGUCAACUCCAUGACUGGCCGCAUGCCGGUCGCUUUUGGGUUCUCGUGUGUGCUGCGCUUGUUUCGCAAAAAAAAAAGGUCUCAUCGCCUGUGCCCCUUUUUUGUUAGGAAG
rnacentral:misc_RNA from 1 species